CAGGAUACGGUUGGCUUUCCGGGCUGCAAGAGAACAUACUUCUCAUUAUGCAGCUUCAUUCCACUUUGUCUGUAUAAAGUUCCGCUUCAUUGGAAACAAAAAUGUUUCUAAGAUUUCUGAGAUACCCAGAAGAUAAAGCUCAUGAAUACCACAGAAAUUUACAUCAAAAAAAAGACUGCUUCAGUCACUGAAAUUCUCUAGGCUCAAUAUCUGACAUGCAAAAUGAGGAUGUUUUUACCAUCAGAACCCAUGUUGUGGUCUUCUAAACAUGAGCUAUGAAAUCUUGUUUUCAGUGUCCUUAAGAAAAGCAAAUUAAA